GGGGGGGAUUUGAUCUUCCAAAAGAAAGAGAACUGGGUUUUGAAAACUUUCAAAAUGGCAGAAAUCCAACCCCCACCAAGCUUACUUACUUAGGCGAUCCCUCGUAGCUCGAGGACGAUUGUCUUCCAUCUUGGGGGUGGGUUCUUAUGUGGCUGAAGAGACCGAUUCUUGACCCGCAUAUUCUCCCGCAGUGAGGACAUUAGUUUCCAAGUGGAAACACAAGAAAAACACAAGCAGGAAAACACAACAAAAGCAUCCAGAGAAGGACACUCUAAAGCCCUUUGAAGCUGUAUAUUCUACUGCCAAACAGCUCUUACAAUCAGGAAGUUCUUUCUAAUGUUUAAGUGGAAUCUCUUUUCUUGUAAUGUGUAUAUAUUGCUCCAUGUCCUAGUCUCUAGAAUAGUAGAAAAAACAUUUUGACCCACCCUCUCAAUGUGACAUCCUUUCCAAUAUUUGAACAUGGCUGACAUGUCUCCUCUCAGCUUUUAUUUCUCCAGGAUACACACUUCAUAGGGUUAGACGUCCAAACCUUUGAUCGUUUUGGUCGUCCUUCUCUGGACAUGUUCCAGCUUGUCAAUAUCCUUCUUGAAUUGUUCUGACCAGGAUUGGAUACAGUAUUCCAGGAUGCUCCUGAGACGCAGCCAGGACAGAGUCCGACAGAGCCCAUCACAAGAUGUAGGGCUACUUCUGACAGGCUUCUUCCUGGCUCCAUCUGGGAACGACUUGAAAAACUGCAAGUCGCUUCUGGUGCGAGAGAAUUGGCCGUUUGCAAGGAUGCUGCUCAGGAGACGCGCGGAUGUUUGAUGUUUUACUAUCAUGCAGGAGGCUUCUCUCAUGUCCUUGCAUGGCAAGCUGGGGCUGGCAGAUGAGAGCUCGCCCCUCUCCCCGGAUUCAAGCUGCUGACCUUUUGGCCAGCAGUCCUGCCAGCACAAGGUUUUAAUCCAUAGUGCCACCGGGGGUUCCUAUGUUUACCCUAUGAAUUUGACCCUUCCUGUCCAGAAAGUCUCUCAAUGGGGAGGUGAAUGUCUUUGGGCUUAUCUGGUUAUAUUUUAGUAAAUAAGUUUAUACAUUAUAUAUAUAUGAAAUAGAUACAAUAUACAGAAAGAUACAAGUUAUAUAGACAGUCAUGAAGAAUAGAUACAAUUUAUUGAAGGGUUGGAUAUUACAGUAGAGUCUCACUUAUCCAAGCUAAACGGGCCGGCAGAAGCUUGGAUAAGUGAAUAUCUUGGAUAAUAAGGAGGGAUUAAGGAAAAGCCUAUUAAACAUCAAAUUAGGUUAUGAUUUUACAAAUUAAGGACCAAAACAUCCUGUUGUACAACAACUUUGACAGAAAAAGUAGUUCAAUGCGCAGUAAUGUUAUGUUGUAAUUACUGUAUUUACGAAUUUAGCACCAAAACAUCACGAUAUAUUGAAAACAUUGACUACAAAAAUGGCUUGGAUAAUCCAGAGGCUUGGAUAAGCGAGGCUUGGCUAAGUGGGACUCUACUGUAUAUACUUUAGGGGUUCAUGGGUUUAAUAACUUUUUAAUUGAUUCACAAUGUAUUGUACAAUUUUAUAUAUGUGUUUUAUUGUAAGCCGCCCUGAGUCCCUUAUUGGGUGAGAAGGGCGGGAUAUAAAUAUUGUAAUAAAUAAAUAAAUGGCUGCUGCUAGUUUAAUCUUGAUCUUCUGAUGUUUUGAACUUGUACAAAUCAGGAAAGGGUCUUCUUUUAAAAAGGGAAAAGUCAUAUAUUUAUUCCUAAGCCCUUGAUUGACUAUAAAUCUUUGGGCAAAGGUUUACCAUGGCUCGAUAACACCAAGGAUAUUUCUGUGGAUUUAUUGAAGACAAUUCAUCACCAUAUAAUGUAAUGGAUACAAUACAAAAUGGAUGAGAGAGCAGACUUAAAAAUAAGUCUGAGGCACUUCUUUGUGGAUUCAAAUACUUAGCCAAACCAAAGAAUAGGAACUCGGCCUUACGUCUCCCUGUAAAUCAGUGGUUCCCAACCUGUGGUCCAUGGACCACCAGUGGUCUGCAAGAACUAAAAUAUGGUCUGUGACCUCACCGUUACUACUACGGAUAAUAACACAGCCCAACCAAAAAUAUUUUUUUCUUGGUUUCUUUGUUUUUAGCCCUGUUCCUGGGUUAUUUGGGGUGCUGAUUCGGAAAAUUGUGUUGGAUAGAUUAUUACAUGAUUAUUACAUGAUUUUCUGUGAGCGAGCAGAUGGCAACUACUGAAUGGCAUAUGUUCUGUAUUAGAUACUAGAAGUGAUGUGGUCUAUUCAAUGCAAUUUUCGGCAUCAGCACCCCAAAUAACCAAACCAAAUCUAAAGUUGACCAAAAACGUUUUCGUAAUCCUCUUGGUAUUAAUGUUGGAGAGUGGUCCCUUGUCAAAAUGGUCCCUGGUAAAAAAGAGGUUGGGAACCUGCUGUAAAUGGAAACAGUUCUAGAAGCUCAGAAAAUGUAUAAUUGUUCAGAUUGCAACUUUUUAUUUAUACUGAUAAUUGCACUUUAACUUUUGAUGUAAGUUAUUCACAGCUGAAGAAAAUAGAAAGGAUUCCCUGAAGUCCCUAAAUUAAUUGAUUCUUCAACAAUGAGACAUUUGUAGUUUAUAUUAUACACUAUAAAGGGCCAAAUGCAUACACUAACACAAGCUAGUAUAGUAAAAUAUAAUGUUACCUUAACU